UAGUGAUCAAGGCUGUUUCGUCCACUGUCAAUUUCAAUUUUCUUUUUACAAAAUACAGGGCCCAAUUUCAUUAGGCAGUUUGACUUUGAGUGAAAUUUAAUGCAGAAGUAAUCCAGACAGAGACUGUCUCGUCUGAUCUUCAAUAAAGGUGGACAGCCAUCACACUGAGCAGAGAUGUCUCAAUCUAUCAAUGUUGAAGCCUCGAAGAGUUGCCAGUCAUUAAUCUGCUUUGACUACUCAAUCAACGUCAUAAUUACUGAUCAAUCAACGCAGACAGAGCAUCAGAUCUUCAGUCAUGAUGGCUGGCUGUCCAUCGCACUCAGCAGAGGAGUGUCAAUCAAACAACUCGCAGAGUGGCCAGCAAUCUAUCACAGCUCACAUCCAAAGAUCAAUUAAUGCAGACGGAGCAUCAGAUCUUCAAUUAUGAUGGCUGGUUGUCCAUCGCACUCAGCAGAGGAGUGUCAAUCAAACAACUCGCAGAGUGGCCAGGAAACUAUCACAGCUCACAUCCAAAGAUCAAUUAAUGCAGACGGAGCAUCAGAUCUUCAAUUAUGAUGGCUGGUUGUCCAUCGCACUCAGCAGAGGAGUGUCAAUCAAACAACUCGCAGAGUGGCUAGGAAACUAUCACAGCUCACAUCCAAAGAUCAAUUAAUGCAGACGGAGCAUCAGAUCUUCAAUCAUGAUGGCUGGCUGUCCAUCGCACUCGACAGAGAUGUGUAAUCUAUCAAUGUUGAAGCAACGCAGAGUGGCCAGCAUUCUAUGACAGCUCACAUACAAAGAUCAAUCAACGCAGACAGAGCAUAAUACAUCUUCAGUCAUGAUGGCUGGCUGUCCAUCUCACUCAGCAGAGGAGUGUCAAUCAAACAACUCACAGAGUGGCCAGCAAUCUAUCACAGCUCACAUCCAAAGAUCAAUUAACACAGACAGAGCUACAGAUCUUUAAUCACGAUGGCUGGCUGUCCAUCGCACUCAGCAGAGGAAUGUCAAUCUAUCAAUGUCAAAGCGUUGCAGAGUGGCCAGCAAUCUGCUAUAUGAUAUCUCACAUCUAAAGAUCGAGUGAGUCAAGUCUCUGUUGGUCAAACUGAGCAGAGGAAAUGUCUUCAAGCUGUCGUUGUUGAAGCCAUGGAGGACGUCAAGCAAACUGCUUAGACAACUCUGUCAACUACCUGUGUACAGAUCGAGUGAGCCAAGUCUCUGUUGGUCAAACUGAGCAGAGGAAAUGUCUUGAGGCUGUUGUUGUUGAAGCCAUGGAGGACGUCAAGCAAACUGCUUAGACAACUCUGUCAACUACCUGUGUACAGAUCAACUAAUCCAGAAACAUCCCCCACUGAGUGAGAAAGUCCAUAACCCCCAGCCAAUAAAGUCAUCAUAUGGGAGCCCACCCACGGCAGGUGCCAUCCCAGAAGACCCACCAAGACCAUGCUCAAGACCCUCAUGGAGGAUGCAGGACAGAGAGUGUCGAACCAAUCAAUGUCUUGUGCAGUCAAUCUACCUUAUUGCAGAUCAAAAUCCCGUCAGAGAGUGUCAGAUAUCGCAAGGAGUCAGCGUCCAUCACUGGUAGACAUGCACCACCUUGUUGUGUACUUUGUAAUUAUUUGUAUUUUAUAGGAAUAUAGUUAGAAUUAAUUGUGUGGGCAUUCGCUCACACUUUUUGUUGUGUGGUAAAUCGCUCACACUUUGUGUUGUGUGGUGAAUCACUGACAC